rnacentral:rRNA from 1 species
GCAUAUCAAUAAGCGGAGGAAAAGAAACCAACAGGGAUUGCCUCAGUAACGGCGAGUGAAGCGGCAACAGCUCAAAUUUGAAAUCUGGCCCCCCUCUGGGGGGUCCGAGUUGUAAUUUGCAGAGGGCGCUUUGGCAUCGGCGGCGGUCUAAGUUCCUUGGAACAGGACAUCGCAGAGGGUGAGAAUCCCGUACGUGGGCGCCUGCCUUUGCCGUGUAAAGCCCCUUCGACGAGUCGAGUUGUUUGGGAAUGCAGCUCUAAAUGGGAGGUAAAUUUCUUCUAAAGCUAAAUACCGGCCAGAGACCGAUAGCGCACAAGUAGAGUGAUCGAAAGAUGAAAAGUACUUUGGAAAGAGAGUCAAAUAGCACGUGAAAUUGUUGAAAGGGAAGCGCUUGCAGCCAGACGUGCGCGCGGUUGCUCACCCCGGCUCUCGCCUGGGGCACUCUUCCGCGCGCAGGCCAGCAUCAGUUCGGGCGGUCGGAUAAAGGCCUCUGUCAAGUACCUUCCCCCGGGAAGGCCUUAUAGGGGAGGCGCAAUGCGACCAGCCCGGACUGAGGUCCGCGCAUCUGCUAGGAUGCUGGCGUAAUGGCUGUAAGCGGCCCGUCUUGAAACACGGACCAAGGAGUCUAACAUCUAUGCGAGUGUUUGGGUGUCAAGCCCGGGCGCGCAAUGAAAGUGAACGGAGGUGGGAUCCCCUUCCGGGGUGCACCAUCGACCGAUCCUGAUGUCUUCGGAUGGAUUUGAGUAAGAGCAUAGCUGUUGGGACCCGAAAGAUGGUGAACUAUGCUUGAAUAGGGUGAAGCCAGAGGAAACUCUGGUGGAGGCUCGCAGCGGUUCUGACGUGCAAAUCGAUCGUCAAAUUUGGGCAUAGGGGCGAAAGACUAAUCG